CCUACGGGUGGCAGCAGUAGGGAAUAUUGCUCAAUGGGGGAAACCCUGAAGCAGCAACGCCGCGUGGGGGAUGAAGGUUUUCGGAUUGUUAACUCCUUUUUUUAGAGAAGAUAGUGACGGUAUCUAACGAAUAAGCACCGGCUAACUCCGUGCCAGCAUCCGCGGGCAUACGGGGGGUGCAAGCGUUACUCGGAAUCACUGGGCGUAAAGAGCGCGUAGGUGGGAUAGCAAGUCAGAUGUGAAAUCCUAGGGCUUAACCAUAGAACUGCAGUUGAAACUGUUAUUCUAGAGUAUGGGAGAGGUAGGUGGAAUUCGUGGUGUAGCGGUAAAAUGCGUAGAGAUCAAGAGGAAUACUGAUUGCGAAGGCGACCUGCUAGAACAUAACUGACGCUGAGGCGCGAAAGCGUGGGGAGCAAACAGGAUUAGAUACCCCAGUAGUC
rnacentral:rRNA from 1 species